UGCGCAGGCGGGCUUGUAAGUCAGUGGUGAAAUACUGCCGCUCAACGGUAGAACUGCCAUUGAUACUGCAAAUCUUGAGUAUGGUUGAGGUAGGCGGAAUGUGUCGUGUAGCGGUGAAAUGCAUAGAUAUGACACAGAACGCCGAUUGCGAAGGCAGCUUACUAAGCCAUUACUGACGCUGAGGCACGAAAGCGUGGGGAGCGAACAGGAUUAGAUACCCUGGUAGUCC
rnacentral:rRNA from 1 species